rnacentral:rRNA from 1 species
GGCCGCGGGAAUUCGAUUCAGGCCUAACUCAUGCAAGUCGCACGGGAAUAUUGGGAGAUGAGUUAGUUGGGAUCGAUUAUAGUUUAAUCCUUAUAGUUAGAGGAAGACGUGUGAGUACCGCCUUGUCACCCUGCCUUUCACAGGGGGAUAGCAGCUGGAAACGGCUGGUAAUACCGCAUACGCUCAGUGCACCGCAUGGUGUGCUGAGGAAAGAUUUAUCGGUGAAAGAUGGAUCCGCGUCUGAUUAGCCAGUUGGCGGGGUAACGGCCCACCAAAGCGACGAUCAGUAGCCGGCCUGAGAGGGCGGACGGCCACAUUGGGACUGAGACACGGCCCAGACUCCUACGGGAGGCAGCACAGUGGGGGAUAUUGCACAAUGGGCG